rnacentral:rRNA from 1 species
AUUGAACGCUGGCGGCAGGCCUAACACAUGCAAGUCGAGCGGCAGCACGGGGGCAACCCUGGUGGCGAGCGGCGAACGGGUGAGUAAUACAUCGGAACAUGCCCAGUCGUGGGGGAUAACACUUCGAAAGAAGUGCUAAUACCGCAUACGUCCUACGGGAGAAAGCAGGGGACCUUCGGGCCUUGCGCUAUCAGAUGAGCCUAGGUCGGAUUAGCUUGUUGGUGAGGUAAUGGCUCACCAAGGCGACGAUCCGUAACUGGUCUGAGAGGAUGAUCAGUCACACUGGAACUGAGACACGGUCCAGACUCCUACGGGAGGCAGCAGUGGGGAAUAUUGGACAAUGGGCGAAAGCCUGAUCCAGCCAUGCCGCGUGUGUGAAGAAGGUCUUCGGAUUGUAAAGCACUUUAAGUUGGGAGGAAGGGUUGUAGAUUAAUACUCUGCAAUUUUGACGUUACCGACAGAAUAAGCACCGGCUAACUCUGUGCCAGCCGCCGCCGUAAGAC